rnacentral:rRNA from 1 species
UACGGAGGGGGCUAGCGUUGUUCGGAAUUACUGGGCGUAAAGCGCACGUAGGCGGCUUUGUAAGUUAGAGGUGAAAGCCCGGGGCUCAACUCCGGAAUUGCCUUUAAGACUGCAUCGCUAGAAUUGUGGAGAGGUGAGUGGAAUUCCGAGUGUAGAGGUGAAAUUCGUAGAUAUACGGAAGAACACCAGUGGCGAAGGCGACUCACUGGACACAUAUUGACGCUGAGGUGCGAAAGCGUGGGGAGCAAACAGG